rnacentral:rRNA from 1 species
UACGUAGGGGGCAAGCGUUGUCCGGAUUUAUUGGGCGUAAAGAGCGUGUAGGCGGUCAGGUAGGUCCGUUGUGAAAACUCGAGGCUCAACCUCGAGACGCCGAUGGAAACCAUCUGACUAGAGUCCGGAAGAGGAGAGUGGAAUUCCUGGUGUAGCGGUGAGAUGCGCAGAUAUCAGGAAGAACACCAGCGGCGAAGGCGGCGCUCUGGGCCGGAACUGACGCUGAGGAGCGAAAGCGUGGGUAGCAAACAGG